GAAGUGGCACCCUCUGUUUGAACUGGGAUAGCAGUCCUGCAUGUCUGGUUUUAGUGAGGUGAAUCUGUAUGUCAGACACAGAGAUGCUCUUCACCAUCUUCUUCCAUUGCCUCUAGCCUUCUGUACUAUCAGAUGCUUGGUCCUCGUGGUUCUGGAGGAGAUGCUGCCUUUGGAGAAAAAGGAGCUGUGCAUAACGAAGGACAUGGUACGAGCACUGGAUACUAAAGGCCUGAAAAUCCUUGGCAGGCAAAGGAUUUGUGAGCAUAAAUCUGGAGACAGCAGCCGGGCAGCAGUGGGCAUGGAACAGUGUGAGGAACACUGCAGCAGCAGCUUCAAUGCAGCAGGGCAGGCAGGUGCACUACAGCAAGAGGCAAUGGAGUUGAUGAAAGCUCUAGAGAUCCUGCUUGGGAGAGCUCAGCCUAAGAACAUGAAACGAGAGAUGGAGCAGCAGAUCCAUGGACAGGAUAUGGUGGCAGUUUUACCCUCACUGCACAGUGAAAGUAAAGCAAAA
rnacentral:lncRNA from 1 species